rnacentral:siRNA from 1 species
AAGUACUCGACUCUUGAUGUUGCA